CUGGGUGGCUCACUCAUUGGGUGUCAUUAAGCAUCUGCCUUCGGCUUGGAACAUGAUCCCAGGGUCCUGAGAUCAAGCCCCGCCUCAGGCUGCCUGCUCCGUGGGAAACCAGAUUCUGCCUCUCCCACUCCCCCUGCUUGCGUUCCCUCUCUUGCUGUGUCUCUCUCUGUCAAAUAAAUAAACAAAA